AUUGAACGCUGGCGGCAUGCCUUACACAUGCAAGUCGAACGGUAACGGGCCUUCGGGUGCCGACGAGUGGCGAACGGGUGAGUAAUACAUCGGAACGUGCCCGAUCGUGGGGGAUAACGAGGCGAAAGCUUUGCUAAUACCGCAUACGAUCUACGGAUGAAAGCAGGGGACCGCAAGGCCUUGCGCGGACGGAGCGGCCGAUGACAGAUUAGGUAGUUGGUGGGAUAAAAGCUUACCAAGCCGACGAUCUGUAGCUGGUCUGAGAGGAUGAUCAGCCACACUGGGACUGAGACACGGCCCAGACUCCUACGGGAGGCAGCAGUGGGGAAUGUUGGACAAUGGGCGCAAGCCUGAUCCAGCCAUGCCGCGUGCAGGAUGAAGGCCUUCGGGUUGUAAACUGCUUUUGUACGGAACGAAAAGCCUUCUUUUAAUACAGGAGGGUCAUGACGGUACCGUAAGAAUAAGCACCGGCUAACUACGUG
rnacentral:rRNA from 1 species